CUCCGAGGAAUAUGGAAAUAUACAACCUCUGCAUCUGAUGCUCUGUACCCGGCCAUAUGAAGAAAUAAAGAAUGAAGUCUUAAAGAAUCAGACUGAUUGUGGGCAAGCUUUGAUGAGCGACAUGUAUCAAGCCAGCAAAGAGUUGCUGUGACCAUAGUUUGGAGGAGGGAACUGUAUGAAAAGUUCAACAAAUCUCAUAUGAACAAACAGAGAACAAAUCAAUCAAAAGCCUUCAGAAUUUCCAGAAGCCACAGUAUUUUGCUUUAUUAUCACAGAUAAUAAAGUCUUCAGCCAACUUGAUUCUACUCCUUCAGGAAAUAGCUGAACACACUAGACACUGCAAAGGCUAUGGGUCUUGGCAACAUUGUGAUGGUGGAACUGAACACUUGUGCUUCAGAACUAGUUGUAAUCCUGAGGCAAGGACAUUACCACCCUCUCCAUUUACUCUCAACUAUUGGAACAGUCAGAGAACAUGUCAUUGACAGUACUAUGAAAGCAUGAAAGAAUAUUCUUAUGAGGAGUCAUUAAAUGAGUUGGGUCUACACUCACUGGAGUUUGGAAGAAUGAGAGGUGACCUCAUUGAAAUAUAUAAAUUUCCUCAGGGGCUUGACAAGACAGAUGCUAACAGGUUGUUUCCCCUUGUGGGAGAAUCUGGGACUAGAGGACGUAUUCCACCACUGGCGUUCAGUAGCAGCAGUGUGUACUGUCUACAAGAUGCAUUGCAGGAAUUCACCAAAGUUCCUUAGACAGCACCUUCCAAACCCAUGAUUACUUCCACCUAGAAGGACAAGGGCAGCAAAUAUUUGGGACACCUCCUGCUGCAAGUUCCCCUCCAAGCCACUGACCACCCUUACUUGGAAAUAUACUGCCAUUCCUUCAUAGUCAUUGGGUCAAAAUCCUGGAAUUCCCACCCUAAUAGCAUUGUGGGUCAAUUCACAGCGAGUGGACUGCAGCAAUUCAAGAAAGCAACUCACCACCACCUUCUGCUCUGCUGUUGUUAGAAUACUGAAUGGACUCAGAAUCUCUUAACAUUCGCCUGUAUCUGUGUUCUUGUUUUUGCCACUGUUUACCUAUUAUUUACUUAUUCAUGCUACUUAACUCUGUGAUCUGCCUGUAUUGCUCACAAGAUAAAACUUUUCACUGUGCCUUGGUACACAUGAUAAUUAAUUCAAUUCAAUUCAAUUCAGUUCAAGGGGCAAAUAGGGAUAGGCUAUCAAUGCAGGCCAGCCAGCGAAGCCCAAGUUCACAAAUGAAUUUUAAAAAUCUCAGAACCAGGCGUCACACAUUUAAUAAUGUGUGCACAAAAUGCCACUAAACUCAAAUUAUGCAAGAAAAGAGGAAAUUCCGAAGAAAGGUUAUGACUCCAGUCUGCGCAGUAAGCAUUUGAGUAAAAUGAGUCCUAUGUGACAUUGUCCUAAAAUGAGUCAAGCUGUUUUUCCAAUUUCAUUUCUGCUGACAAUUUUUCAUUCAGGUGAUGAUCUUUAAAUGAAGAAAUUGUGAAGCAGGUGCAACUCAGCAAAGACUAAAGCAAAUUUCAUUCCCUUUCUUUUCUCAGGAAAUAAAUAUGAAUCCCAGUCUCAAAUUUAUC